rnacentral:rRNA from 1 species
GCCAGGGGCAGCCUUAUUCUAAUUGCCUAGCGGCGGUCUCCUGCCCUUAACUGGGUGGGGAUGCGGCCCUGGGCUUUUUACCUCGAGCAAAUUAGAGUGCUCAAAAACAGGCCACAUACUCGGCCUUUGAAUAUAUUAGCAUGGGAUGAUCGAACACGGCUUCUACUGCCCGUUUUCGGUUGGCUUUUUAGCGGUAGAGCAAUGAUUAAUAGGAGCGGUUUGGGCCGUUCGUACUCUGCGGACAGAGGUGAAAAUUCUUAGACCCGUAGAAGACGAACUGCAGCGAAAGCGUUCGGCAAGGACGCCUUCAUUGAUCAAGGACGAGAGUUGGGGGAUCGAAGACGAUCAGAUACCGUCGUAGUCCCAACCUUAAACGAUGACACCUAGGGAUUGUACCUAGUACAUGGAUGACAUGCUCAGCACCUGGAAGCCAAAGCGUUAAGGUUUCGGUCUCCGGGGGGAGUAUGGUCGCAAGACUGAAACUUAAAGGAAUUGACGGAAAGAUACACCAGGAGUGGAUCCUGCGGCUUAAUUUGACUCAACACGGGGAAACUUACUCGGACCGGACAUCCGAAGGAUUGACAGAUUGAUCGUUCUUUCUUGAUUGGAUGGGUGGUGGUGCAUGGUCGUUCUUAGUUGGUGGACCGAUCUGUCUGGUUAAUUCCGAUAACGAACGAGAUCUCGCCAUUCUAACUAGUGGUUCUGACCGGCUAAUAUAGGUGAAGGGGGCGCGCCACUCGGCUUC